rnacentral:rRNA from 1 species
UACAGGGGGGGCAAGCGUUGUUCGGAAUUACUGGGCGUAAAGGGCCAGUAGGCGGCCAACUAAGUCACACGUGAAAUCCCCGGGCUUAACCCGGGAACUGCGUGUGAUACUGGAUGGCUUGAAUUCGGGAGAGGGAUGCAGAAUUCCAGGUGUAGCGGUGAAAUGCGUAGAUAUCUGGAGGAAUACCGGGUGGCGAAGGCGGCAUCCUGGACCGACAGUUGACGCGUGACGGCGAAAGCUAGGGGAGCAAACGGG